ensembl:lncRNA
UGAUAAAGGAAAUGAAGCCUUUUGCAAACUUCAAAGUUCUAUAGAAAUGUCAGCUGUUAUAAUUAUUUCUUCUGAAUGUUUUGCAAAUGGCAGAUGCCUUUUUUUAAGCCUCCACUGAAGCCUGAAGACUUUACCAUAUGACUCAAGUGAUCAUCUUUUUGGUUGAUUCCACUGAAAUAGGGCAAUCAACGUGAUUACUGGUGCUGAAUGCUGACUCAGUGGGACAGCCACAGGAGCAACUCUAUGUUCCUGAUCCUCCAGAAGUCUCAAGGAGGCCAAUGACUUCUUUCCCAUCUUUUUUUUUUUUUGCCAGGAUGAGUUCUUUCAUAGGGAAAUUUGGAAAAUUAUUCAAACCACUCCACCAAAUCGUUUUGAAUCCAUUCGGAAUUUGCUGGUUCAGAGACUUUCCUGUUCCCCAAGACUGAAAUCUCCUUUAACAGAAGCACUAUUAGCAUCAUUUUUGGACGUCCCAAUGGAAGCAGCCAUUUGCAUUGGAUACUGUGGUACCAACAGAAUGAUCACAAAGAGGGAAGAUGAUAGGGCUUCUCCUCAUGUAGAAGAUCUUGAUCUGAGGUGUCAUCUGUACACUUCUGUGGAUCUUCGGAAUGUUUCUGUUUGCACAGAAGAGCAGCUGUAAGAAUGGCAGAAGAGCUUUCAGGAAACAGAGUCUAGGUGGAACCCUUGAAGCUCACAUAAUUGCAUGAAUUUAAAAGAGCAAAUAGGUUAAACAAUGAGCUCUAAGUGGAAGAUGACCUGGAGCUCAGCCUCUAGUGAAGCUCAUUUAGCAAUUCAUUUCCAUUCUCCUCCUCCAACCUCCUUGACUUACACUGCUGGCUUACUGGAAAUUUUCUGCCUGGAAUGAUAAUGGCUGUAUGUAUCACAGUGCUACCUCGCCAAAUCAAUGGGCAACAUUGUGAAGUUUCUGCUUCCAGCCUUUAGUUGUCAGUCUUCUUCUCUCAUUUGCCAUAAUCAAUAACUUGGGAGUACUCAGAGGAGUCAGAGCAGGACUGGGAUGUCUUCUGACAAUGACUGUAGAUGAGCCUCAAGUUGGACAACCUCAGCCCAAGGGAAUUCUCACAAAUUAUCAAUACAUAUUCCCCUCACUUUGUUUGAGUUACACCUCAGGGUAUAUAUAACUUCUGACCCAGUAAUACCUGAUUCUUAAGCAUUAACCAGCAAGGGGGAAAAGUAAAAUCCAUUUCUCUAGAGAGAAUCUGUUAUUAAAGCAAUUAUAAUAGUUCUCUGAGUAGUCACUAGGUUAGGAAAAGACCCAUUCUUUUCAGAUUAUAAUGAUGCUUGCCAAAUUUUGCUUAUUCAUAAAUAUUCCCUAGUCUUCAAGAUUCUACAUCAGCCUCAUAAAUUUCCAAAGACUUACCAUGGUACUCACCAUUUUGCAAAGGAACAUUUAUUUGGCCAAUUUAACAUCACGUACAACUGAUUUAACAGAGAUUUAGCCUCUCUCUGCCUGCUCAAUAUUGACCAGAUCAACAGGUUUUACAAAACCAGUCUCUAGUCAACAAGCCACUGGUUCUUUGCCAAUGAAACACAGGAUGAAUUUUCCUAUAAUAAAAAUCACUCCAAAGGACA